AAAAAAUUCUUUUAAUUAGGUUUGUAGUUAACUAAGUUUGCUAACUUUUGCCAAAAUCGCCGUUUCUGCGGCGAUUUUUUC
rnacentral:tRNA from 1 species